CCUACGGGUGGCAGCAGUGGGGAAUAUCGCACAAUGGGCGCAAGCCUGAUGCAGCCAUGCCGCGUGUGUGAAGAAGGCCUUCGGGUUGUAAAGCACUUUCAGCGGGGAGGAAGGCGGUGAGGUUAAUAACCUCAUCGAUUGACGUUACCCGCAGAAGAAGCACCGGCUAACUCCGUGCCAGCAGCCGCGGUAAUACGGAGGGUGCAAGCGUUAAUCGGAAUUACUGGGCGUAAAGCGCACGCAGGCGGUCUGUCAAGUCGGAUGCGAAAUCCCCGGGCUCAACCUGGGAACUGCAUUCGAAACUGGCAGGCUAGAGUCUUGUAGAGGGGGGUAGAAUUCCAGGUGUAGCGGUGAAAUGCGUAGAGAUCUGGAGGAAUACCGGUGGCGAAGGCGGCCCCCUGGACAAAGACUGACGCUCAGGUGCGAAAGCGUGGGGAGCAAACAGGAUUAGAUACCCUAGUAGUC
rnacentral:rRNA from 1 species